UGCCUGCUUCUUCUUUUUAAAGGGCCUGGUCUUUCUAGACUGGUGACUUGAGACCCUUUGAUUGGUCGGUAAUCAGGCAGUCUCCUUAGCUAACCUGACGAUCUCU
rnacentral:sRNA from 1 species